GCAUCGACCUGGUAUUGCAGUAC
rnacentral:piRNA from 2 species